GCUCGGGGGUUAAAGUUUACAUGGAAAUUACUAUGGGAAAUGCGCGAUUUUGCUUCAAACGCUCCUACAGGCUAAGCGACAAACUUUAACCCACACUUACACUAGGUAGCCGUGUCGGGGGUGGUCCAAGGAACAUUUUUCUCUAAGGGUUCAUGGUCAUCCGUUCAACCCUGAGCUUGCGCAAAGCCGAAACAUCCGGCGACGCCGCAAUCCUUCUAAAUCCCGGUUUUAACGGUCAACGCAUGCUACGAAACUUUGAUUGAAGCAUCAAAUGAAUGAAUGAGAAACACGACGCCAAACGUCAACUUGCUAAAAUUUAAACAACGGUUCGCCGUCGAUUUCGCUGGCCCGUCGGCAAAUACAGCGCAAGUUGGUUUCCGGAAGCACGCUGCAAAAGAAAGUGACAUGACGAGCUGGCCACACCAUAGCGGCAGAAUUUCAGUGCGUACCCGCGGAUGCCAGUAGCAGCGUCAACCGAAAAAAGUUUCAAGUUGGGGGAGAAAGAGCAGCAGCUGCAAGGUUCGAACAAGAAGGUCUCAAAUCGACAGUUGUGUCGUGAGAACGCAGAAAAUCAACAACGCUGACCAACAUGCAAAUGAGUUGCAGCAAAAUCUCCAGCAUCCUGUAAACGCCUGCAAAACCGACAAAAGUUGGGGAGCUGUUGCCACAGAAGGGGGAGGAAGGCGGCCAAUCCAACACAGAAAUGAUCACCGGCAAGGCAGGAAAGAUAAUCUGGUCCAUCAAUGCUCAGUCAAAGGGCGUUUCAGGGACGCAAACCGGAUGAAGCCAGAACUAACAUGUACCGUGAUGUACACGAUGGCCACCAAAAUAUCCGUGCGGGAUGUGGAUCAACAAGAAUCACAUCCGGGACGAAGAUCGUGAACCGGUGAUGGAAGUCAUUGUAUGGCCGAUCAAUUUUAUCGCGUCACAUACGAAAUAGAUGUCACGAAUGUAUUUAUUAUUUUGUGGUUGAAAUAAAUUCAUAAGCAUUUUUUUUCUUGA